AACGAACGCUGGCGGCAUGCCUAACACAUGCAAGUCGAACGAGAUCUUCGGGUCUAGUGGCGCACGGGUGCGUAACGCGUGGGAAUCUGCCCUUUGGUUCGGAAUAACAGUUGGAAACGACUGCUAAUACCGGAUGAUGACGAAAGUCCAAAGAUUUAUCGCCAGAGGAUGAGCCCGCGUAGGAUUAGCUAGUUGGUGUGGUAAAGGCGCACCAAGGCGACGAUCCUUAGCUGGUCUGAGAGGAUGAUCAGCCACACUGGGACUGAGACACGGCCCAGACUCCUACGGGAGGCAGCAGUGGGGAAUAUCGGACAAUGGGCGAAAGCCUGAUCCAGCAAUGCCGCGUGAGUGAUAAAGGCCUUAGGGUUGUAAAGCUCUUUUACCCGGGAUGAUAAUGACAGUACCGGGAGAGUAAGCUCCGGCUAACUCCGUGCCAGCCGCCGCCGUAA
rnacentral:rRNA from 1 species